rnacentral:rRNA from 1 species
UACGUAGGGCGCAAGCGUUGUCCGGAAUUAUUGGGCGUAAAGAGCUCGUAGGCGGUUUGUCGCGUCUGCUGUGAAAACCUAAGGCUCAACCUUGGGCUUGCAGUGGGUACGGGCAGACUAGAGUGCGGUAGGGGUGACUGGAAUUCCUGGUGUAGCGGUGGAAUGCGCAGAUAUCAGGAGGAACACCGAUGGCGAAGGCAGGUCACUGGGCCGCAACUGAACG